rnacentral:misc_RNA from 1 species
UAAUAAGUGUUUUAUUAUGGCACUUUUUUAAAUCCAUAUCCACCUUGUGUGCAAUGUCGGUCGAUCUUCUUUUUUUUGAGGAUCGACCAAACAUCAACCUUUAUUUUUUAAAACAUCUUUGUCUGAAAAAUAUUAUGAAUAAACAAUUCAAAUA